rnacentral:misc_RNA from 1 species
GAUGAAGAACGUAGCGAAAUGCGAUAAGUAAUGUGAAUUGCAGAAUUCAGUGAAUCAUCGAAUCUUUGAACGCACCUUGCACCCUUUGGCAUUCUGAAGGGUAUGCUCGUUUGAGUGUCAUUGUACUCUCACACUCCCGAUCUUUGCAUUGGGAGCAGUGGACUUGGGUUUGCUGCUUCACCGUCGCUUACCUCAAAUAGGUUAGUGCAACUCUUGGUUGGACAUAGUACGGCGUGAUAAGUGUUCUUCGCCGGUGCCUCGCAAAGAGGGUGGCCGAUCGGGAUGUUGUGCUCCAAACCGUCUUCGGACAAUCUCUGACGACUUGACCUCAAAUCUAGUAAGACUACCCGCUGAACUUAAGCAUAUCAAUAAGCGGAGGA